rnacentral:rRNA from 1 species
GAAUCCGUCACUGACGCUGAGGCACGAAAGCGUGGGGAUAGAACAGGAUUAGAUACCCUGGUAUCCCACGCCGUAAACGAUGAUGACUAACCGUCGGCGAUAGAAUGUCGGUGGCCAAGCGAAAGCGAUAAGUCAUCCACCUGGGGAGUACGUCGGCAACGAUGAAACUCAAAGGAAUUGACGGGGGCCCGCACAAGCGGAGGAACAUGUGGUUUAAUUCGAUGAUACGCGAGGAACCUUACCCGGGCUCGAACGGUACAGGACGGACACAGAGAUGUGAACUCCCUACGGGGCCUGUAUCGAGGUGCUGCAUGGUUGUCGUCAGCUCGUGCCGUGAGGUGUCGGCUCAAGUGCCAUAACGAGCGCAACCCUUGUCGUCAGUUGCCAUCAGAUAAAGCUGGGGACUCUGACGAGACUGCCACCGCAAGGUGUGAGGAGGGGGGGGAUGACGUCAAAUCAGCACGGCCCUUACGUCCGGGGCGACACACGUGUUACAAUGGCGGCCACAGAGGGAAGCUACCCGGCGACGGGAUGCGGAUCUCGAAAAGCCGUCCCAGUUCGGACUGGAGUCUGCAACUCGACUCCACGAAGUUGGAUUCGC